GAUGAACGCUGACAGAAUGCUUAACACAUGCAAGUCAACUUGAACUUCGGUUUGGGUGGCGGACGGGUGAGUAACGCGUAAAGAACUUGCCUCACAGAUAGGGACAACAUUUGGAAACGAAUGCUAAUACCUGAUAUUAUGAUUUUAGGGCAUCCUAGAAUUAUGAAAGCUAUAUGCGCCGUGGGAGAGCUUUGCGUCCCAUUAGCUAGUUGGAGAGGUAACGGCUCACCAAGGCGAUGAUGGGUAGCCGGCCUGAGAGGGUGAUCGGCCACAAGGGGACUGAGACACGGCCCUUACUCCUACGGGAGGCAGCAGUGGGGAAUAUUGGACAAUGGACCAAGAGUCUGAUCCAGCAAUUCUGUGUGCACGAUGAAGUUUUUCGGAAUGUAAAGUGCUUUCAGUUGGAAGAAA
rnacentral:rRNA from 1 species